rnacentral:rRNA from 1 species
UACAGAGGUGGCAAGCGUUGCUCGGUAUUACUGGGCGUAAAGCGUGCGCAGGCGGUUAUGCAAGACAGAGGUGAAAUCCCCGGGCUCAACCUGGGAACUGCCUUUGUGACUGCAUAGCUAGAGUACGGUAGAGGGGGAUGGAAUUCCGCGUGUAGCAGUGAAAUGCGUAGAUAUGCGGAGGAACACCGAUGGCGAAGGCAAUCCCCUGGACCUGUACUGACGCUCAUGCACGAAAGCGUGGGGAGCAAACAGG